UACGUAGGUGGCAAGCGUUGUCCGGAUUUACUGGGCGUAAAGAGCGCGCAGGCGGUCGUUCAAGUCGCGUGUGAAAGCCCCCGGCUCAACUGGGGAGGGUCACGCGAUACUGAUCGACUCGAAGGCAGGAGAGGGAAGUGGAAUUCCCGGUGUAGUGGUGAAAUGCGUAGAUAUCGGGAGGAACACCUGCGGUGUAGACGGCCUACUGGACCAUCACUGACGCUGAGGCACGAAAGCGUGGGUAGCAAACAGG
rnacentral:rRNA from 1 species